rnacentral:rRNA from 1 species
AGUGAACGCUGGCGGUAGGCCUAACACAUGCAAGUCGAACGGCAGCACAGUAAGAGCUUGCUCUUACGGGUGGCGAGUGGCGGGCGGGUGAGGAAUACAUCGGAAUCUACUUUUUCGUGGGGGAUAACGUAGGGAAACUUACGCUAAUGCCGCAUACGACCUACGGGUGAAAGCAGGGGAUCUUCGGACCUUGCGCGAUUGAAUGAGCCGAUGUCGGAUUAGCUAGUUGGCGGGGUAAAGGCCCACCAAGGCGACGAUCCGUAGCUGGUCUGAGAGGAUGAUCAGCCACACUGGAACUGAGACACGGUCCAGACUCCUACGGGAGGCAGCAGUGGGGAAUAUUGGACAAUGGGCGCAAGCCUGAUCCAGCCAUACCGCGUGGGUGAAGAAGGCCUUCGGGUUGUAAAGCCCUUUUGUUGGGAAAGAAAAGCAGCAGGUUAAUACCCCGCUGUUCUGACGGUACCCAAAGAAUAAGCACCGGCUAACUUCGU